AACCGCAAACACUGUCAAGCAAAAAGAGAAUGCACACACACUUUCACACCAAGAUUCUAAAUGUUAAGACAAGUAUAUAAGCAGAUAAGCUUUGCUCCAAGAAGAUACUGGAAUGAAGUAAUGUAUCAGAAUCAGAAAAAAAGACUUACACUUGGGCAAACUCUUUCUAAAUUAUACUCGAGCAUUGAAAACUUGAGCACUUUUUCUUCUUUGAAUGCAGAAGUGAAUCAAAAAUGUACUCACCAUCUGUUUUGUUAGAUUAAUUUCGGGAACAUACAAGCUUAUCUCAACAAAGCCACCGUUUGAUGUUGACUUGCAUAAGCAUUGAUUUCGUAAAUACAAGUUAAAACCCCUUUUUUUGAAAUCUUGUUCUCUCAGUUGAUAUUUAACAAACAUAGCAUAUAAAAUAUUAAAUUCAUAUUACAUAGAGGCAUUUUUUUGGCUUUUUUUUUUUCAUGAAGGUUUUUUUUUUAAUUUUCAAAUAAGCCUUUCGUAAUUGUUUUUAUUUUUUUUUUAAGAUUGUUUUUUUUUUUUUUUUUUUUUU